rnacentral:lncRNA from 1 species
AUGACUACUGCAGGGAAGAUUUCUUGUCAACUUAUUAAAAUACAACACGUUCGACUCUACCUUAGACAAAAUUCAACCAUUCUCUUCCAUGAUGUAGAAUGGCUACUGAAAAGGAAGGACAUAGAAAAAAGAAAAUUUUCAGGGGACAGUGGAAAACAAAUGCAUUAUGAUUUACUUCACAGGGAACUAUAAGUAGGAGUUAUGUCCAAGAACAUGGAAGUUGUUUAUUUGAAAUACUAUUUAAGAUUUUUUUUCUUUGCUUUUCGACUUUCUCCCCCGGAAGAGCUAUAGAAGUGAGUUACAUAUUUUUUUCUCCUGCUACUUUUUUUAUUGAAAUAUAAUUAACAUACAAUGUUACAUUAGUUUCAGGUGUACAAUAAAAUGAUUCAACAAUUCUAUACCCUUCUCAGUGUUCAAGAUAAGUGUAUUCUUUAUCCUCUUAUCUACUUUGCCCAUCCCCCCACUCAUCUCCCCUCUGAUAAGUUUGUUCUCUGUAUAUAGGAGUCUACUUUUUGUCUCUUUUUUUCUUUGUUCAGUUGUUUUUUAAAUUAAAUCCCACAUAUGAGUGAAAUCAUAUGGUAUUUUUCUUUCUCUGACUGACUUAUUUCACUUAGCAUUAUACUCUCUAUCUAGGUCCAUCCAUGUUGUAGCAAAUGGCAAGAUUUCAUUCUGAGUAAUAUUUCAUACACACCACAUUUGUCCAUUCAUCUAUGGAUGGACACUUGGUUGCUUCCCUAUCUUGGCGAUUAUAAAUAAUGCUGCAAUAAACAUAGGGGUGCACAGAUCUUUUUAAGUUACUGUUCUCAUUUUCUUUGGGUAAAUACCCAGGAGUGGAAUUAUUGGAUCAUAUGGUAUUUAUAUUUUUGACUUUUUGAGGAAUCGUCAUACUGUUCCACAAUGGCUGCACCAGUUCACACCCCCACCAACAGUGCACUAGAGUUCCUUUUUCUCCACAUCCUCACCAACACUUAUUUCCUGUGUUUUUUAUUUUUAGCCAUUCUAACAGACAUAACGUGAUAUAUUAUUGGUUUUAGUUUGCAUUUCCCUAAUG